rnacentral:rRNA from 1 species
ACGAACGCUGGCGGCGUGCUUAACACAUGCAAGUCGAACGGAAAGGCCCUGCUUUUGUGGGGUGCUCGAGUGGCGAACGGGUGAGUAACACGUGAGUAACCUGCCCUUGACUUUGGGAUAACUUCAGGAAACUGGGGCUAAUACCGGAUAGGAGCUCCUGCUGCAUGGUGGGGGUUGGAAAGUUUCGGCGGUUGGGGAUGGACUCGCGGCUUAUCAGCUUGUUGGUGGGGUAGUGGCUUACCAAGGCUUUGACGGGUAGCCGGCCUGAGAGGGUGGCCGGCCACAUUGGGACUGAGAUACGGCCCAGACUCCUACGGGAGGCAGCAGUGGGGAAUAUUGCACAAUGGGCGGAAGCCUGAUGCAGCAACGCCGCGUGCGGGAUGACGGCCUUCGGGUUGUAAACCGCUUUCGCCUGUGACGAAGCGUGAGUGACGGUAAUGGGUAAAGAAGCACCGGCUAACUACGU